GCCCCGGUAGCUCAGGGGAUAGAGCAGCCGCCUCCUAAGCGGCAGGUCGCAGGUUCGAUUCCUGCCCGGGGCGCCA
rnacentral:tRNA from 1 species